CCAAUUCUGAAGCAACCAAGCUGGCAUAGACGCAUUUACAAGAAGGCUCACUACUAAAUAAUCUCCUUAAAAAUGAUCGUUUUGGUUGAAAAGGUGAGCCGGAAAGCUUUUUCUUUGUAGAAGAAGGAGAGAAUAACGAUUGUCUUCUUCUAUGUUUGGGAACAUUCAACGAAUCAUAAGAGGCUGGUGAUUGAGAGAGAUCAGCACGCAUUGAUCUCUCCCCACUAGGGGUACGAAGACGACGAGAGUUGUUCAUGGUUGCAUUUGCGUAUGGUUGAUUAUAGUUAUUAUUAUCAAUAUUAUUAGAGAAUUGUUCAUUUCCUACGUUGAAGCGAGUAACUCUUGGAUUAAAAGCACUGCCGCGCGGGAAGCUUACGACUCGAUUACCAGUGUGUUCGGACAUUCUAGAAGUGACACGCUUUCUUGGAGGUCCCAUACCUGUCGGGAAAUUGGAAGCUGCUAAAUUACCAACAAUACUAGGGUCAUUCUCAUUCAUACGAAAAUCAUUUGACAUAUCCAGUGAAGUAGCGCGACGACUUAGUUGAACUUCCGGAUCGUUUAUAGAAACGUUAAAGUUGCGAGGAGAUAAUGCAGAAGGAGGUCGGUAAUUUGAUGACAGCAUUGAACUAUCGUGGGGAUAUGCAAGUCCUGGGGUAACUGAUUUUGGGAGUUGAGGAACAGCAGAAGAUGUAGUGGCUGGUCGUUGAAGUAUGGAUUGGGGGUUGGUAGCAUUAAAAGAGUAAUUAAAAGUGCCAGAAGUGGUAACAGGUGUAAGAAAUGGCGAUGCAGAAGUAGCAGGUCGAGGAACAGACUCUGCAGCAUAAGAAAUUGGAUAAGGCGCUAAAGUAGGAAUAUUGAUAGCUUGUUCAAUUUCUUCCUCGUCCAUUUGCUGCCCGUUGGAUGCUGCUGUACCAAGGAGAUCAUCGACCACAGCGCGGUUGCGAUCAACUGCAGCGCUGGAAGGCGGAUGCAAGUGUCUGCUCAGUAGAGUAUAUAGAGUUUUUUCAACCAAGGGUGAUUGAGAUGCCAAUUUUUCAUACAAGGGCAUAGGAUCAUCGGAACAUCUGAAAACUAAAGAGAGAUGCUGCACUAUUAAUGGAUCAAUGGGUUGUAUAGGGGCUGAUAUGAUUGGAAUAGAAAUAUUGGGAUGAACAAAGCAACUAAGAAACGGGUGUUCACGAAUUUGUUCCAUGGUAAUUCGAGUAGAUGAAUCAACAUCAAGCAUGCGGUACAACAGAUGUUGGGCUUGAGGAGAGAUAUUUGAUGGCAUUUCAAAUUGACCCUGACAGACUUUUAGCAACAAAGAACGAAUGUUGUCAUCAUCAAACGGUAAUUUCCCUGUUAACAAAGCAAAAAAUAUAAUUCCACAUGACCAAAUAUCGCUAGCACAACCAUCAUAUGAACGCCCCAUAAUAAUUUCUGGGGAUGCGUAAUGGGGAGACCCGCAGGAAGUCUGCAAAAGCUUUCCUGGCUGUUGAAUAGACGCCAUACCGAAUUCACCGAUUUUGAUAGAACCAUGGGCAUCCAAGUAUAAGUUCUCUGGCUUUAAAUCCCGGUGGCAGAUAUGAAGUUUAUGACAAUACUCCAAUCCACACAAAAUCUGCCAUAGAAACUUUGCCGUAUCUUGCUCAGUAAAACUUCCUUUACGAAGCAUGCAGUCAAAAAGCUCACCACCUGGCAUAUAUUCGACUACGACAAAGAGUUGCUCCUGGGCUGAAAUCACAUCUAUGAGCUGCAAAACAUUAGGAUGCUCGAUCAAUCGAAGCAAAACUAAUUCACCCUCUAUCCUAGCCUGUUGGCUCGAAGUAAGCUCGGACCAUCCUACAAUCGGUUUUACUACGGCUAAUUGCCCAGUUUCACGAUGUUUGGCUAAACGUGAUGAAUUUGGUCCUCCUGAUCCUAAGGAAAGACCAAGCUCCCAAGGUCCAACUUCUGAAAUUGUACUCAUACACUUCAACUAUUCAAAAGAACCAGUAAAUCGGUGAAGUGGUGAUGGCCAAAUCCAAACCCCAU